UAUUAUCCCUGUUUGAUAGUUUUUCUCCUCUUGACCCAAAUAAAGAGAUUUGAUGUGAUGAUUGAGGUAGAAGGCUAGCUGAACAUAUUGAUCAAAUGUCUGCUGGUGUACUUUAUUAUUCUUUAUUUCAUUGUUUUUUGUUUGGUGACCGUGAACUCUAUAGGUAGAGGAGCAGAGGACAUAAAGGUGCAUAGCUAUUUUGUCACUACUAAUAUAUAUGACUAAUUAAUGCCCACAAAGUUUUAAUGGGAUAAUAAUGAGAGAUUAUCAAGGAACAGAGCUCUCUGGUACUUCAUAUAUGUGAUCCUUUUAGUAGCCCACAAGAUGUCUCAGGACAUGCUCAUAAGAGGAUAGGAUGUGAUACAUGUUUGCUCAAACGUUCCAAGACUUGGAUGAACAGUUGGAAUAAAGGAUCUCUUUCUGUCUCCACCAUGGAAAAAAUAGAAUCAACCCUUCCUCUUAUUAAUCAUGUGCAGCCUCUUUAAUUUGCCUUCCUAGCCUGUGUCAUUUGGUUCUGAAAUUUUUUCUGCUAUGCAAUUUAACAAUUUAAUUUCGUGCGUCAUGUGCAGAGAGGUCCAGCACGAUCUGAGACACAUGGGUUUUCUGUUCUCAACUUCUCAUGUCUGAUUUUAAUUCUUUUGCUUUUUGGUUAACCAGAGCUCAGAAUCAAGAUUAAGGUGUGCGCUCAUAUAACCUAUGCGGUGUCAUGGUUGUUAAAUCCUGCUCCCCAUGGCUCACUAUUGCAUUUGGAAGUUGGAACUGUAUCUUAGAUUGAUUUGCUAUGAUGGGAUAUAAAUAGCAGCCUUACUGAUGUGUCACUUUACUUGGCUGCUUGCUGCUGAAACUUCUAUAUUUCUAUUUCAGAAUGUAGUUGAGCACAAAGCAAAAAGGGUGAUGUUUGCCCAUAGAUGCCUGAUGAUGAUCAUUUCCUGAAGAGUACAACGCUGGGUGGAUAUUCUUCUACCUUAGCAGAUGAGAUCGAUUGUAUUUCAAGAUGAGACACUGACGGGAAAAGAAGCUUUGCCCUCCGAACAUGAAGCCUAGGCUCUAGACUGGGUAUCUCUUAAAGUAAUCAUACUUUUGAUUUGUCAAAGACGGGAAGAAGUAUCCCUAGGAGGAAGACAGGAUCCUGGGUGGAAAAUUGGUGAAAGUGUUACGACCAUGGGAAAUGGAUGCCUCCUGCUACCAGCUGCGCCCUGAGGUGUGUUUCUUUGCAGGUAUCUGAUUAGGUCAAAAGCGACAGGAACUUUAUGUACGCUGAGUACUCUCUUUCGCCUGGCAUAGUGAAUGAGAACAAAUCAAAAUUAGUGGACCAAGUUAUAUGUGCUAUCCUUUUACUGGUGUACAGAGAACAUAUUCCAGCAUGUAUUUGGGUGUAUGAACUGUUGUAUCGAUGAUGUCGAGUCGCUGUGCGUACAUGUCAUGGCUUCAUAUGCAUAUAUAAAUUGUUGUAUCCA